rnacentral:rRNA from 1 species
CCUUCCGGUUGUAAACCUCUUUCAGCAGGGAAGAAGCGAAAGUGACGGUACCUGCAGAAGAAGGCGCCGGUAACUACGUGCCAGCAGCCGCGGUAAUACGUAGGGCGCAAGCGUUGUCCGGAAUUAUUGGGCGUAAAGAGCUCGUAGGCGGCUUGUCACGUCGGAUGUGAAAGCCCGGGGCUUAACCUCCGGUCUGCAUUCGAUACGGGCUAGCUAGAGUGUGGUAGGGGAGAUCGGAAUUCCUGGUGUAGCGGUGAAAUGCGCAGAUAUCAGGAGGAACACCGGUGGCGAAGGCGGAUCUCUGGGCCAUUACUGACGCUGAGGAGCGAAAGCGUGGGGAGCGAACAGGAUUAGAUACCCUGGUAGUCCACGCCGUAAACGUUGGGAACUAGGUGUUGGCGACAUUCCACGUCGUCGGUGCCGCAGCUAACGCAUUAAGUUCCCCGCCUGGGGAGUACGGCCGCAAGGCUAAAACUCAAAGGAAUUGACGGGGGCCCGCACAAGCAGCGGAGCAUGUGGCUUAAUUCGACGCAACGCGAAGAACCUUACCAAGGCUUGACAUAUACCGGAAAGCAUUAGAGAUAGUGCCCCCCUUGUGGUCGGUAUACAGGUGGUGCAUGGCUGUCGUCAGCUCGAGUCGUGAGAUGUUGGGUUAAGUCCCGCAACGAGCGCAACCCUUGUCCUGUGUUGCCAGCAUGCCCUUCGGGGUGAUGGGGACUCACAGGAGACCGCCGGGGUCAACUCGGAGGAAGGUGGGGACGACGUCAAGUCAUCAUGCCCCUUAUGUCUUGGGCUGCACACGUGCUACAAUGGCCGGUACAAUGAGCUGCGAUACCGUGAGGUGGAGCGAAUCUCAAAAAGCCGGUCUCAGUUCGGAUUGGGGUCUGCAACUCGACCCCAUGAAGUCGGAGUUGCUAGUAAUCGCAGAUCAGCAUUGCUGCGGUGAAUACGUUCCCGGGCCUUGUACACACCGCCCGUCACGUCACGAAAGUCGGUAACACCCGAAGCCGGUGGCCCAACCCCUUGUGGGGGGGAGCUAUCGAA